AGUGAACGCUGGCGGUAGGCCUAACACAUGCAAGUCGAACGGCAGCACAGUAAGAGCUUGCUCUUACGGGUGGCGAGUGGCGGACGGGUGAGGAAUACAUCGGAAUCUACUUUUUCGUGGGGGAUAACGUAGGGAAACUUACGCUAAUACCGCAUACGACCUACGGGUGAAAGCAGGGGAUCUUCGGACCUUGCGCGAUUGAAUGAGCCGAUGUCGGAUUAGCUAGUUGGCGGGGUAAAGGCCCACCAAGUCGACGAUCCGUAGCUGGUCUGAGAGGAUGAUCAGCCACACUGGAACUGAGACACGGUCCAGACUCCUACGGGAGGCAGCAGUGGGGAAUAUUGGACAAUGGGCGCAAGCCUGAUCCAGCCAUACCGAGUGGGUGAAGAAGGCCUUCGGGUUGUAAAGCCCUUUUGUUGGGAAAGAAAAGCAGCAGGUUAAUACCCCGCUGUUCUGACGGUACCCAAAGAAUAAGCACCGGCUAACUUCGUG
rnacentral:rRNA from 1 species